AGUCAAACUGGCAUAUGAGGAGCAAAGGAACCCAGGCAGUAGCAUCGUUUCACAAUGUUUCCAUCACCAUCAUCAGUGGAUGCCUUUGCCGUCUGUAGCCUGAGAUUUCAGAUUUGCAGCAAAAAAAAUUUGAUUUUCUCAUUUAUUGGAAUGCUGUGCAGGUAUUUGUACCUUGCAGCCAUCCAUUACAAUGUCACCAAGCCGUAACAAAAGCAGGAGAGGGAAAGUACAAGGCUAUGUUCCCAAAACACACAAGUGACAUACCGUA